UUUAAAUAUGGGUUUUUAAGAAAAUCAUUAUAUUUUAUUUUUUUCAUCAAAUUUUAAGAGAAUAAUAUUAGUAUAUAUUAGACAUAAUACAAAACUGGAAAAAAUGCGGUAUAGUUCUGAUUUUAUAUCUAACUAGAAAUGAAAAUUGUGCAAGCUAAUUCAUUGGUGUAUUGUUUCUUAUUCAGAAAACAGCAUCUGUGAGCCAGGUUUUCUCGUUGAAUCUAAAAUAUAAUUGUUUCAAAAACUUCUCAGCUAAAUACAGCAAGAAAAUAUAUGUCUUCACUAACACACACAGACACACACAUACAUACACACACAGUUCAAUAAAUUCUCUGUAACCAUAUUCAUUUAUAAAAAGCUAAAAAGCUAAAUAUGAGUUCAUACUGAUGCCUUCACCUCAAAUCCAUUACCAUAUUGACUAUUCUGGACAACUUCUUUGCUCGUAUUUGUAAUAUAUGUUCUUAGUCCAAUAGUAAGAACCCUGGCUCCCACAUCUGCCAUCCAUUAAUUCAAUUGUUCAGUUCCAGUAUAUAUGUUUAUUGAUGUAAGAAUUUUUAACCCAUACCUCUAUUGGAAAAAUGUUAUCAACUAGAGAACAGUACAUAUGUAUUACAAACUAAAAUUCAUUUCCAAAGUUGCGUAAGAUGGCAACUUUUCCCUCCACUCCCUUCACUGAGGUUGUUUAAUACAUUUGAAGUGCAGUUAUAUUCUCUUGUCACAAUCUGCAUUCCUUCCAAGAUCCCAUGUUUUUCCAAUUAUUUUUAAAUGUUGCAUAGAUUAUUGUUUACUCUUUUUGCUAUAGUUUUGUAAGUUUUGACAAAUACAAAACUUCUUAUAUGCAAUAUUAAAGAAUUAUACAGAUUAUUUUAACUGCUUUCAAAAUCUCUUGCACGUCAUCUAUUCAGCCUUCCUCCCUUUCUCCUGAAUGUAUGCCAACCACUGUUACUUCUACCGUUUCUGUAUUUUUUUCCUUUUCUAGAACACUAUAUAAUUGGAGGUGUAUAGUGUGUAGCAUUUACACACUGGCUUUCUUCUCAUAGCAAAUAUCCGUUGGUUUCACUCAUUCUUUUCUUGGUUUAAUAGCUCAUUUAUUUUUUCCCUGAAAAACCUUCCAUUGAAUGAAUGGAUUGACCACAGUUGGUUUAUUCAUUAAUCUACUGAAAGACAUUUCAGCAAAUUCGAAUUUUGGACUCUUAUAAAUAAAGCUGCUAUAUGCUUUCAUAUAAAGUGUCUUUAUUUGCUUGUUUUUGCUUUGAUAUUUCUUGGUUUUGUAGAUGUAGGCUUGCAAAUUAAUAAAUACCUGGAAGUGUAAUUUUUGGAUAUUAUAGUAAAACUAUAUUUGGUUUUUGUCUUAGUUCAUUUUCUGUUGCUAUAACAAAAUAUCAUGGCCUGGGUAAUUUGAAAAUAAAACAAAUUUACUUUCUAAACGUUUGGAAGCUGGGAAGUCCAAGAACAUGGUGCUAGCAUCUGCUGAGAGCCUUCUUACUUUGUUAUAGUGUGGCAAAAAUGCAAGCGAGCAUGCAAGAGAGAAAGAUUAAAUUGGGCCAAAUUCCUCUUUCUCAUGAGCCCUCUUUAUUAUGAGCUCACUCCCACAAUAACUAACCCACUCCUAAGAUGGCAGCAUUAAUGUAUUCAUGAGAUAGAAGCCUUCACAAUCUAACGACUUCUUAAAGGCUCCACCUCUUCAUGCUGUUACGUUGGCAGUUACAUUUUAAUAUGAGUUUUGGAAGAGACAUUCAAAUCAUAGUAUCUUUGUAAGAAACUGCCACUCUCUUCUAAAUUGACUGUACAUUUCACUUUCCCACCAUCAAGGAAUGGAAGUUCAUGUCACUCUACAUCCUUGACAGCAGUUAAUAUGGACUGCCUGACAUCUACCUACCUGCAAUUGGCUUCUUCUUCAAGUCUCCACGGUCUUGUCCAGAACCACAUUAUGACAUCCUCAUUUGAAAAAGGGUUUGGGUGUAGAAUAGAAUCCAUGAUCAAUCAUGCUCUAUUCUAAAUUGCUAUAUAUUCAAAAUAAUGUUAUAUCUAAAUGUGGAUUUAUUUGAUUAUUUUAUUCUCAUAGGUCCAUUAUCUCAGAUUUGGCUACAAUAUUUUGAGAAUGAGAAAGAGACUUUCAGAUCAGGAAUAUCCAGAAAAAUAAAUGAGUUUAUGAGAAUCAUUUUUCAGUGGUCUCUGCGAAAUUAAGAGUCUGCCUACAAUUAUUUAAGAGAGAAAAUAAAGUGCGUUAAAUAAAUUAGUGAACACACAAUUUAUGUCAAAUUCUUCCAAAGCUCUCAAAAGUUUAGAUCUUUACACAAUUUUGAACAUUGGCUAUAAACAAUAUCAUUCAGGACUGGUUAAAUCUAUGUAAGACUAAGGUAGGAUCUGUUAUCAACAAAUAUAUUGUAUAUCAGCUCUAAUUUAGUGAAUUUUGUUCAAGGAUGAAAUUAAAUACAAUGAUUAAAUAAUUAAAAUAAAGAUAAUAAGCAAUCUGUUAUGGGUUAUUCAAUAUAUAUGUUAUUAAUGUGAAGACUGACUUUUGUUUUAUAAUUUUUAUAGAAAAUUUGUUUUAAAGGAGAUUAUAUAAACAUAGUAGAUGAUGUUUUAUGAGAGACAUGGUGUUAUGUUUUGUGGUCAUGUCAUUGAACUAUAAUUGAAUACAUUACAUUUUUUAAAAUUUUUCAUUUUUGAGGGUAUAUAAUAUACAUAAGUUGUGGGGCAUGUAAAUUAUUUUGAUUCAGGCAUACAAUGCAUAACAAUCAUAGCAAGGUAAAUGGGUUAUCUAUCACCUCAAAUAUUUAUCCUUUUAAAGUGUUCCAAACAAUACAAUUAUACAUUUUAGUUACUUUGAAAUGCACAAUAAAUUAUUGUUGACUAUAAUCACAUGUGGUGUUAUCAAAUACUUAUUAAUUCUAGCUAUGUAUUUGUACCCAUUACCCAUUCCUAUUAUCCCUGACCCUUCCCAGCCUCUGCUAACCGUCAACAAAGUAAAGCUAUACCCCCCAAAAUGGGAGAAAAUUUUCGCAAAAUAUCAUCUGUUGAGGGAUUAAUAAGAAUAUUUAAGGAUCUCAGAGAACUCUAUAGGAAAAAAAACCAAUAAUCCAGAUAAUUCUGAAAAUAAGUCAUACAAAUGCCAAAUAGGUAUACAAAAAGGUACUCAACAUCAUUGAUAGUUAGAAAAUGCACAUCAAAACCGC
rnacentral:lncRNA from 1 species